AUUGAACGCUGGCGGCAUGCCUUACACAUGCAAGUCGAACGGCAGCACGGGUGCUUGCACCUGGUGGCGAGUGGCGAACGGGUGAGUAAUAUAUCGGAACGUACCUUAUCGUGGGGGAUAACGCAGCGAAAGCUGCGCUAAUACCGCAUACGCCCUGAGGGGGAAAGCGGGGGACCGUAAGGCCUCGCGCGAUUAGAGCGGCCGAUAUCUGAUUAGCUUGUUGUGGGGUAAAAGCCCACCAAGGCGACGAUCAGUAGCUGGUCUGAGAGGACGAUCAGCCACACUGGGACUGAGACACGGCCCAGGACUCCUACGGGAGGCAGCAGUGGGGAAUUUUGGACAAUGGGGGCAACCCUGAUCCAGCAAUGCCGCGUGAGUGAAGAAGGCCU
rnacentral:rRNA from 1 species